rnacentral:rRNA from 1 species
UACGUAGGGGGCAAGCGUUGUCCGGAUUUAUUGGGCGUAAAGAGCGUGUAGGCGGCCAGGUAGGUCCGCUGUGAAACUCGAGGCUCAACCUCGAGAUGUCGGCGGAAACCAUCUGGCUAGAGUCCGGAAGAGGAGAGUGGAAUUCCUGGUGUAGCGGUGAAAUGCGCAGAUAUCAGGAAGAACACCCGUGGCGAAGGCGGGUCUCUGGACAGUUCCGUGACGCUGAGGCACGAAGGCCAGGGGAGCAAACGGG